AAACUUACUUGGCUGAGGAAAUACCUUGAUCAGGAAGGUGUUUCUCCCAAUGCAAGGGUUGGCUUCUGCACUCUGUAGGAAUGACUUCUUCCAUGUUCUGAAUAUGAGAAACUCAACCUCAGGAGCUGUGAAAAGACAAAAUAUUCUCUGUC
rnacentral:snRNA from 1 species